UUACACCGUCAGAGUUAUCUGGAUACUUCCCACCAACACCAACCUAUCCGAACUCCGGAGAUGGGAACUCGCCCUUCAGUAUAUCCUCUCUUCUCGAUAUCCGCCAGGCCUCAACCUCCGCUAAUUUCAAGUUGCCGCCACUCAUACCUCACCUGUCUUUCAACAACUUCUUUGCCUCUGUACUUCCGCCUCGACUGACAUCUCUGCCCCUACUCUUUGCCUUUAAAUAUGUCUGCUUGUGUCUGUGUAUGUGCGGAUGGAUAUGUGUGUGUGUGUGCGAGUGUACAUCUGUCCUUUUUUUCCCCUAAGGGAAGUCUUUCCGCUCCCGGGAUUGGAAUGACUCCUUACCCUCUCCCUUAAAACCCACAUCCUUUCAUUUUUCCCUCUCCUUCCUUCCUUCCUGACGAAGCAACUGCCAGUUGCGAAAGCUCGUAAUUCUGUGUGUGUGUUUGUGUGUUUUGUUCAUGUGCCUGUCUGCCGGCGCUUUCCCGCUUGCUUCUCUCCUGCAUUGAUGCUUAGGUAAUGCUUUCAAAAAAGGAUGGCUAUAGUGAUCCUGAAUUUGGCAUUGAAUUUAGUGGCUCAGAAAGUGAAAAGAAUGUGAAAUAAAUAGAUCCACAGUGCUCCAGCCAGCCGCUCCAAGAUUUAUGUUCACAGGAAAUCACUGUAAAACACAUGGCCAGACUUCAUAGCUACACAGAAACUAAAAAAUAACCUCAAGUCUCAGGAUAUUUUCGUCAAAGUCCAGUGUGGUUAAGAUACUCCAGGAAUGUAAACCAAUCAAGUUUCCCAGCUGAAAAUGGAAUGCACGGUUUCUCAUGAAAAAGUCUCAUUUAAACAAGUGAAUACCUUGAAAGCUAGUUCAUAAGCAAAUUUCAAAAUCAUCUACCUUGUCAUAUCAUUACAAAACUUUUUCAAUCAACAAAAAGAUAAAAUAAAGGGAACACUGACGACACAGUAUUAUUAAAUGAGAUUAAACAAAAUAA